AGACUUCUCCUCAGCUCCGUGCGCACUGGCGAGACGUUGAGCCUCGGGAGGGGAGACGCGCGGCGAGAGCCGGAGGGGGACCGCCGCGGAGCUCCGGCCGGGAGGAGCGCGAGGCGUGAUCGAGGGGUAUGGUUAGCAUGGAAUUGAAUUUCAUCUGUCUGUGGGAGUUGUAAACAAGGUUGCCAUCACGAAAGCCAAAGUGGAUUUCUCCAGCGUAGUGUGCCUGCCCCCUUCCGUCAUUGCUGUGAAUGGGCUGGACGGAGGAGGGGCUGGCGAAAAUGAUGAUGAACCAGUGUUGGUGUCCCUGUCUGCGGCC